rfam:Oryza rufipogon genomic scaffold, chr03
AAAAAGACAAAACCUGGUUUCCGUGCCCAAACGUUUGAUCGUCCGUCUUAUUUGAAAAAAUUAUGAAAAAAAUUAAAAAGACAAGUCACGCAUAAAAUAUUAAUCAUGUUAUAUCAUCUACCAAUAAUGAAAAUAUGAAUUAUAAAAAAAAAUUAUAUAAAACAGACCGUUAAAAGUUGGACAUGAAACUCAGGGUUUGUCAUUUU